UACGUAGGGUGCGAGCGUUGUCCGGAAUUAUUGGGCGUAAAGGGCUCGUAGGCGGUUUGUCGCGUCGGGAGUGAAAACACCGGGCUUAACUCGGUGCUUGCUUUCGAUACGGGCAGACUAGAGGCAUGCAGGGGAGAACGGAAUUCCUGGUGUAGCGGUGAAAUGCGCAGAUAUCAGGAGGAACACCGGUGGCGAAGGCGGGUCUCUGGGCCGAUACUGACGCUGAGGAGCGAAAGCGUGGGGAGCAAACAGG
rnacentral:rRNA from 1 species